rnacentral:rRNA from 1 species
UUGGAGGGCAAGUCUGGUGCCAGCAGCCGCGGUAAUUCCAGCUCCAAUAGCGUAUAUUAAAGUUGUUGCAGUUAAAAAGCUCGUAGUUGAACCUUGGGUCUGGCUGGCCGGUCCGCCUCACCGCGAGUACUGGUCCGGCUGGACCUUUCCUUCUGGGGAACCUCAUGGCCUUCACUGGCUGUGGGGGGAACCGGGACUUUUACUGUGAAAAAAUUAGAGUGUUCAAAGCAGGCCUUUGCUCGAAUACAUUAGCAUGGAAUAAUAGAAUAGGACGUGCGGUUCUAUUUUGUUGGUUUCUAGGACCGCCGUAAUGAUUAAUAGGGAUAGUCGGGGGCGUCAGUAUUCAGCUGUCAGAGGUGAAAUUCUUGGAUUUGCUGAAGACUAACUACUGCGAAAGCAUUCGCCAAGGAUGUUUUCAUUAAUCAGGGAACGAAAGUUAGGGGAUCGAAGACGAUCAGAUACCGUCGUAGUCUUAACCAUAAACUAUGCCGACUAGGGAUCGGACGGGAUUCUAUAAUGACCCGUUCGGCGCCUUACGGGAAAC